UACAGAGGGGGCAAGCGUUGUUCGGAAUUACUGGGCGUAAAGGGCGCGUAGGCGGCCUGUUAAGUCGAACGUGAAAUCCCCGGGCUCAACCCGGGAACUGCGUCCGAUACUGGCAGGCUUGAAUCCGGGAGAGGGAUGCGGAAUUCCAGGUGUAGCGGUGAAAUGCGUAGAUAUCGUAAGGAAGACCAGUGGCGAAGGCGGCUUUCUGGGACGGUACUGACGCUGAGACGCGAAAGCGUGGGGAGCGAACAGG
rnacentral:rRNA from 1 species